rnacentral:rRNA from 1 species
GACGAACGCUGGCGGCGUGCUUAACACAUGCAAGUCGAGCGGAAAGGCUCCUUCGGGGGUACUCGAGCGGCGAACGGGUGAGUAACACGUGAGUAAUCUGCCCCUGGCUUUGGGAUAGCCACCGGAAACGGUGAUUAAUACCGGAUAUGACCACUACACGCAUGUGUUGGUGGUGGAAAGUUUUUCGGCCAGGGAUGCGCUCGCGGCCUAUCAGCUUGAUGGUGAGGUAAUGGCUCACCAUGGCUUCGACGGGUAGCCGGCCUGAGAGGGUGACCGGUCACACUGGGACUGAGACACGGCCCAGACUCCUACGGGAGGCAGCAGUGGGGAAUAUUGGACAAUGGGCGGAAGCCUGAUCCAGCAACGCCGCGUGAGGGAUGACGGCCUUCGGGUUGUAAACCUCUUUCAGUACCGACGAAGCGCAAGUGACGGUAGGUACAGAAGAAGCACCGGCCAACUACGUGCCAGCAGCCGCCGUAAUAC